CCUGUCUACCGACAGUGGCCGAUGCCAGGUGCCCAGAGGGAGUGAACAGAAGAGAUUUCACCAACCAAGUGUCAAGUGUGAGCUCCUGGAGCCCUAUGACAGCAUAACCAUGGAGUCCCAGACAGUCCCCAUGGGAAUCGGGUCUGUCAUGCCACCCAGAGCUCACGCUGAUGGGACAAGUGUUUGUGCAGGUCUCCUCUUCGUCGGUGUGGAGGGAGCAAUCAAGAAAGUCCUAGGUCCACUGAUGGUCCACAGCGGCUUGUGUGGUGUCUGUGGCCUUCUUGUGGUGGAGAAGAGAUGACACCUCUUGUGGUGUCGAGUCUGACCCGGAAGAAGACCCAGACGCCCGAGGCCCCGUGCUGAGGGCCUACGAUGCGACCAGGACAGAUGGGACCUGCUGUGGAGCCCAAAGGAAGGAAGAAGCAAAACCAGAAACGUGCAGCCGUGAUCCCGGCCCCCACGCCUGCAGCAGGACAGAGCAGCCUCUCGGACGGGAGCGGACCGGGCCUGGCAGCGCCGCGGGAGAACUGAGAUAAGGACCGCCUAAUAGCAUUGUGUGUCUGCCGUCUGUGGGGUGCGGAGCUGGGGCAAGGGCAGCGGGAGCCCUCUAUCGAGGACAGCCGGGAUUGCAGCUCCUGUGUGGCUACGUUUGAAGAGCGCGGGCGCUGGGAAGCUGGUCGGACGGGAGGGGCAGAACCAGAGCAUC